GAUGAACGCUGGCGGCGUGCCUAACACAUGCAAGUCGAACGAAGCAAUUAAGAUGAAGUUUUCGGAUGGAAUCUUGAUUGACUGAGUGGCGGACGGGUGAGUAACGCGUGGAUAACCUGCCUCACACUGGGGGAUAACAGUUAGAAAUGACUGCUAAUACCGCAUGACGCGUAGAGGUCGCAUGAUCUUUACGCCAAAGAUUUAUCGCUGAAAGAUGGCCUCGCGUCUGAUUAGCUAGUUGGUGAGGUAACGGCCCACCAAGGCGACGAUCAGUAGCCGGACUGAGAGGUUGACCGGCCACAUUGGGACUGAGAUACGGCCCAG
rnacentral:rRNA from 1 species